GGACCAUUAGCGCAGCUGGUAUAGAGCAACCGGCUCAUAACCGGUCGGUCCGGGGUUCGAAUCCCUGAUGGUCCACCA
rnacentral:tRNA from 1 species